rfam:Microsporidia sp. TGP3 contig-59, whole genome shotgun sequence.
GGUCCCAUAGCACAGCGGUAGUUGCGACUCCCUAGUAAGGAGUAGGUCGUGAGUUCAAUCCUCGCUGGGACCU